rnacentral:lncRNA from 1 species
ACAAAGAUGAGCUGAUGAACUGAACACAAGUUUUGGUGUAAUCAACAAGCUGCCUGGAAUAUGCAUGAACUGCCCUAAUUUUAUGGAUGCCUUUACUUCUGAAAGCAUCUUCUGGGAGAGCUUAGCCUUUUCCGUAAGUUUGGAUUUGAAAGCAAGCAAAAUGGAAAUAAGUCUGUGUUGCUCACAUGUGCUUUAGUUUUUGUGCACUUAAAAGUUUUUAAAGAACUUUU